AUUUAUUGGGCGUAAAGCGAGCGCAGGCGGUUUUUUAAGUCUGAUGUGAAGCCUUCGGGCUCAACCGAAGAAGUGCAUCGGAAACUGGGAAACUUGAGUGCAGAAGAGGACAGUGGAACUCCAUGUGUAGCGGUGAAAUGCGUAGAUAUAUGGAAGAACACCAGUGGCGAAGGCGGCUGUCUGGUCUGUAACUGACGCUGAGGCUCGAAAGUAUGGGUAGCAAACAGGAUUAGAUACCCUGGUAGUCCAUACCGUAAACGAUGAAUGCUAAGUGUUGGAGGGUUUCCGCCCUUCAGUGCUGCAGCUAACGCAUUAAGCAUUCCGCCUGGGGAGUACGGCCGCAAGGCUGAAACUCAAAGGAAUUGACGGGGGCCCGCACAAGCGGUGGAGCAUGUGGUUUAAUUCGAAGCUACGCGAAGAACCUUACCAGGUCUUGACAUACUAUGCAAAUCUAAGAGAUUAGACGUUCCCUUCGGGGACAUGGAUACAGGUGGUGCAUGGUUGUCGUCAGCUCGUGUCGUGAGAUGUUGGGUUAAGUCCCGCAACGAGCGCAACCCUUAUUAUCAGUUGCCAGCAUUAAGUUGGGCACUCUGGUGAGACUGCCGGUGACAAACCGGAGGAAGGUGGGGAUGACGUCAAAUCAUCAUGCCCCUUAUGACCUGGGCUACACACGUGCUACAAUGGAUGGUACAACGAGUUGCGAACUCGCGAGAGUAAGCUAAUCUCUUAAAGCCAUUCUCAGUUCGGAUUGUAGGCUGCAACUCGCCUACAUGAAGUCGGAAUCGCUAGUAAUCGCGGAUCAGCAUGCCGCGGUGAAUACGUUCCCGGGCCUUGUACACACCGCCCGUCACACCAUGAGAGUUUGUAACACCCAAAGUCGGUGGGGUAACCUUUUAGGAACCAGCCGCCUAAGGUGGGACAGAUGUUAGGGGAGUCGACAGAGCGCCAAAAA
rnacentral:rRNA from 2 species